AAGCAUGCACCCUCGUCCCUCCCACCCGCGCGAUUAAAUAUAGUUCGGAGGGAACUUACAAAGUUGCUACACAAAGAGGCGCGAAACCAAUCCCUCGAAAAAAGCUCUCCAUAUUUAGAAACUUCUCGGUUCUCGCCAUGGCCGUUUCUUCUUUCCGUUCUUCUUCUUCUCUCUCUCUAUCUCUGUCUCUCCGUCUCUCUGCAUUUUUCAUCGCCAAAUGCAUGGAGUUUCGUCGAUGUCUCUUUCGGAUUCUGAUGAUUCAAGCCGAAUCAAUCACUGAAAAAUCAUCUGUCCCUCAGCUGUUUCUUCAUAUUUGGCUCCCUUAUCUCCUUUAUGUUGUCAACUAAAGGGACUUUAAAUUGAGUCCUCACUUUGGCGUAGCUUUCCACACUUGGAUCAUGGAUUUGUGAUUCUCAACUGUUUGAAGCUUCAUAUCUUGUAAAGUAGCUGACCACGCAAAUAGCUUCCUGGAUUUAAUGUCAAGUGCGUACAGUAUUCGCUCAGGCAUGUUAUGAUCCUGUUUGGCGGUGCUGCACACUGUUUCAUUUGUGAGUUACGGAUGAUCAGAACCCUUGGUACAUCAUGGGAAGGCUUAUCAAUUAUAGGUGAUCAUCUUCUCACUAUGGGUGCUAUGAAAUCAUUUGUAUGUUUCUAAAUAUUGAAACAUAACUUGUUAGCAUGGAGAUGAGAUGACGUUACAGGCAGAUACCUCUUUACCGAUACUCUUUUCGCUUCUCUGAAGUCCUUAAUCUAACUACAAAUUCCUAGUAGGAUCUUAAGUUGUAAGAUCCCCCAAUUAUAUCCGAAAGGUCAUAAUUCUCUUGGAAAAUCCUUUCAUUUCCUCUUCCAUAUCUCCCACAAGAUUGCUCUAACUACAUUCUUCCUUGGGUGAGAUGAUCAUAAAGAGUUCAUAUAAGGAAACUCCUUAGUUCUUUGGAAUCAUGAUAGGCAUGAGUAUUGGGGAUGAAAUCUAAUGGAAACAGGCCAAUGAAAUUGCUACAAGUGAAUACAUUUAACAAAUAGUUAGGAAGUAAGUUAAACUUUAACAGUGCUAGCUAACUUUUACUAUGCCCUUGGAAAAGAUAUGUUGUCUGUAUAGGUGGGUUUAGUAGGUUGAAUAACCAAUCAAUACACAGAAAUACCUAUUGGCUCGUUAGACACAACACCUAAUUGCUCCCUGAAAAACAACUAGCCAGACCAUAAGGUUUUUUGGGAUGAAAUUUUCG